AUUGAACGCUAGCGGGAUGCUUUACACAUGCAAGUCGAACGGCAGCGCGGACUUCGGUCUGGCGGCGAGUGGCGAACGGGUGAGUAAUGUAUCGGAACGUGCCCAGUAGAGGGGGAUAACUACGCGAAAGCGUAGCUAAUACCGCAUACGCCCUACGGGGGAAAGCAGGGGAUCGUAAGACCUUGCACUAUUGGAGCGGCCGAUAUCGGAUUAGCUAGUUGGUGAGGUAACGGCUCACCAAGGCGACGAUCCGUAGCUGGUUUGAGAGGACGACCAGCCACACUGGGACUGAGACACGGCCCAGACUCCUACGGGAGGCAGCAGUGGGGAAUUUUGGACAAUGGGGGCAACCUUGAUCCAGCCAUCCCGCGUGUGCGAUGAAGGCCUUCGGGUUGUAAAGCACUUUUGGCAGGAAAGAAACGUCGCGGGCUAAUACCCCGUGGAACUGACGGUACCUGCAGAAUAAGCACCGGCUAACUACGUG
rnacentral:rRNA from 1 species